rnacentral:rRNA from 1 species
GAAUUUUAUAUGAAUGGAAUUACAAGUAGUAAAAAUUAAAUUAAUUUUUACAUUAGUUUUUUAGUAUUUGAUUGGGAGGAUUAUUAAAUUUUUAUAACUUUAAUUAAUUAUUAUACGAAUGGGUGGAUAAUAUUUAUUGAAUGAUAAUUAUAUAUUUUAUUAGAAUUAAUUACCUUAGGGAUAACAGCAUAAUGUUUUUAGAUAGUUCAUAUAUAUAAAAAUGAUUGU